GCAGAGUAAGUGCCUGCGCGUCAAGUGCCGACUGGACGGGGAGUUGCCAGACGGACGAAGGGUGACCGCGAUGCAGGCAUUGCAUCCCGCUGC
rnacentral:ncRNA from 1 species